AUUGAACGCUGGCGGCAGGCCUAACACAUGCAAGUCGAACGGUAACAGAAAGCAGCUUGCUGCUUUGCUGACGAGUGGCGGACGGGUGAGUAAUGUCUGGGAAACUGCCUGAUGGAGGGGGAUAACUACUGGAAACGGUAGCUAAUACCGCAUAACGUCGCAAGACCAAAGAGGGGGACCUUCGGGCCUCUUGCCAUCGGAUGUGCCCAGAUGGGAUUAGCUAGUAGGUGGGGUAAAGGCUCACCUAGGCGACGAUCCCUAGCUGGUCUGAGAGGAUGACCAGCCACACUGGAACUGAGACACGGUCCAGACUCCUCCGGGAGGCAGCAGUGGGGAAUAUUGCACAAUGGGCGCAAGCCUGAUGCAGCCAUGCCGCGUGUAUGAAGAAGGCCUUCGGGUUGUAAAGUACUUUCAGCGGGGAGGAAGGGAGUAAAGUUAAUACCUUUGCUCAUUGACGUUACCCGCAGAAGAAGCACCGGCUAACUCCGUG
rnacentral:rRNA from 1 species